AUGAGUUGGAAGUUAAAUGCUGAUUUCCCCACCAAAUCAAAGUUCUACAGCUUAAUGUCCCCGAGACUGUGUUUUCUUGGUUUGGUGAGUAAACCCUAUAGAAAACGAAAUACUGGUCAUA
rnacentral:sRNA from 1 species